CUGAGUUCCACAGAAGAUUGAACUCUCAACCAUGACAAAUGCGAUGGGGAAAUCUGAGUUGAUGGACUGAAAAUCUUGAAUCUGAAUUCCUUUGAAUCUUCUGAGCCCACAGAAGUAGCCCACUCCUCCCUUUGAAGGUGGAGGUGCCAUGGCUUAGCAGAAAGAGUCCAGACUUUGAAGCACUUUGUGGUUAUUUAAUGAAUAUUAGAUGAUCCAUAAGGACAGUGACUUUAUCUCUUUUCUACCAAUUUUAUCUAUUCCCUGCUGAAUCCCUAGUGCCUAAAAGGAGUAUCCGGCAAUCAAAAACACUUGAAAAAAUAUUGCUGAUGCAAUGUAUAUGGAACAUUUAACAUAUUUAGUGCUUAAUAAAGGGUUACCAUUAUUAUUCGUGCAUAUUGUGUGCCACAUGUGAAGACUUCUUUUUGUGUGCAUGUGAAGAAGAUUGGCCCUGAGCUAACAUCUGUGGCCAUCUUCCUCUGUUUUAUGUGGGAUGCCACCACAGCGUGUCUUGAUAAGCAGUGCUAGGUCUGUGCCCAGGAUCUGAAACUGAAAACUCCAGGCUGCCAAAGUGGAGCAUGCACAGACUUAACCACUGUGCCACCAGGCUGGCCCCUGUGGCCUUCUUUAGUCUGACUGUCACUGUUUUUACCUGUGAUGCCACCUCAGAAGCCUCCUCAUUCAUUCUUUCGCUCAAAGUGAAUUGGCCUAGGAAGGAUGGCUGGCCCUGCUGUUGCUGCUGCUCUUCCCAGCCUCUCACAGCUGCACUGAGCAGUAUGGAAUUGGGCUUUAGCCUGUCAUUAUGGGGCCUCCUCCAUCCCACCCUGCUCAUGGCCUCAGCACUUCGAUUCACCAUUCAGCCUUUGCUUGGGCACCCUGCUGACAUCCAACCUCAAGAAAUUUCUCAAUGUGCAGGAAUGCCAUAAUUAUGCAGCCUUAGACUUCUCCCUUCUGAGAUCGUUACAGAAAUGAAUUGUGUUUCUCAAACAAAUCAGAUUGUACAAUUUUGAGGAAGUCUAUCUUGGUCGGCAUAGGGGAUCUCAGACUUAUUCUGGCUGCCUGCCCAAAAUCAGUGAUACAAGGACCCCUCUGCCUUAGCAGAGAGAAGCUUCUGUCAGAAUCCCUAUGGGAAAUUUGUACAAGCAAUUCCUACCCUCAUAAACAGGACUCCUACUGGCAAUUUGUUCUGUAAGGAAAACAGAAAAAGUGCUGAUACGGCUUCAUCAGGACCUGUAUCCUGGGCUUCAUCAAGAAAAGAAGAACUACAAAUGGAAAGCUGAAGAACACUAUGGCAUUUCUGGCAGUCAAGAUUUGGAAAGUUACACACUAAGAAGCUAUAAUAUGCUUAAGGAUAAUUUCCACCUAAUAAAGAGAACAGAAAUUUUGUUUAUGCAACCAAAUAGAGAGUUACUGUAUAGAGCAUAUAUUUUCUGAAUCAAACAGAACAGAGAAUGACGGCAUUGAGACAUGUAGAAAUACCCUUAUAAUGACAGAGCUGUCAUGUGGAAUCAUGUGUUAUUUCAUGUGUCCAUUCCAUCUGAAUGAGCAAUAAAACCAUCUUGGAAAAGAAUAA
rnacentral:lncRNA from 1 species